ACCAACUCUAUCUCCCUUUGAUAAACCCUAACAAGGCCUUCAAUUAAGAUUCAUUUUUUUAACUCCAACCCUUAACAAGGCUUUCGAUUGAGAUGGAAACUUGAGAAGUGAAACAAUCGGCAGUCCUCCCUCAGAAACAAGCACAUUAUGAUUGAUCUUGGCAUCGAUAAUAACAAGAUUAACUGGGCUCUCAAGGACAAACAGGAGUUCAGAGACAUCAUUGGGACUGUAUACCGUGAGGCAUGGAAAGGCCGUGGUUUGAAAGAUUACUCGAAAAAGUACUGCUAUUGAGUAUUCUUCCAACAUGUAGUUGAUCAGAAUGUAAAUUGUAUGUAGAUAUGUGUGUCAUUUGCAAUGUUUGGUUGCAUGAAUGUGGAGGAUAAUCCAAUUUGAGAUGAAACUUUGAAAUAUAUAUUUUAUGUGCUCUUUUGAUGCUUGUUUACAGUAUAGCACCUUAGCUUGGAGUGACUUUCCUUACAGUUGUUUGAUAAGGAACAAGUGUUUUAAUUUAACUAUAUAAAAAUAUAAAUGAUAUGUUUAUAAA